GAACUACGAACACAAGAUCAGAACCAAAAAUAAAGCUGUGGAAUCUUUAAAAAAACAUUAUCUAAAAAUGUAACAUAAAAAGGAAGGUGCACUGGUUGUGUCUGGGGAGAAACCCACACAGACGGGCUCUGCGAGUGGCCACCGUGUGUUUGGAAAAGGGCUAGUGAUGGCUGAAGGAACGUCUGUGACCCCACGGCAGCUGCUUCAGCCCAUCUCAAGAGGAAAUACUGCAAACCAGCCGGUGUAACGAAGAGUCACCAGACUUUAAUAUCCUGGUGUGGCCCACAUCCCAAAACCACAGGAUAAACAAGGAGUGUCUUCCUGAACCAUUGGUUCUGCUUAGUGAUGGAGGUAAGAGCUGUGCAGAAGAGAAAGCUGGGCCUGAAAAUGCAUGUGACCUCGUCUAGGAUGGAGCCUUGGGGAAAUUCUCUGAGGAAGUGAUCACUGAGCUGACUGCUGAAGGCUGCACGGGAGACAACCAGGGGAAGAGAAAGAUGAAAAUCAUUCUGGCCAAAAUAACAGUGAAAGUGUUCCUUUAUCUAGUACCUUGGGGGCUUGAGCUUAUGUGGUUUUCAGCUAUGUUCCGGGAAGAAGCUCUAAGUGACAACCGCCAUGAAACCAGCUGCACUGAACCGGCCCAGGAUGGCCUAGACCACAACCACAAGACUGGCACCUGCACAGAUAGGCUGAGAGUUGUACCAAAGUAACCUUCCCUUAUUAACCUCGUAAAUUCCCCUCCUGUGGGAGGGGCAGAGCAGCCAUUUUUAGAUCAUGCGAUAUAUGUAAAAGCAUGAUUUCAAACUAUGCAUGUGUAAGCUUAUGCCCACCUCUACAUGUGAUGAUGAAACUUCCCCUCUGAAUAUUCAUUCCUACCCUAAAUAAAG
rnacentral:lncRNA from 1 species